GUAGGUGGCAAGCGUUGUCCGGAAUUAUUGGGCGUUAAGCGCGCGCAGGCGGUUCUUUAAGUCUGAUGUGAAGCCCACGGCUCAACCGUGGAGGGUCAUUGGAAACUGGAGAACUUGAGUACAGAAGAGGAAAGCGGAAUUCCACGUGUAGCGGUGAAAUGCGUAGAGAUGUGGAGGAACACCAGUGGCGAAGGCGGCUUUCUGGUCUGUAACUGACGCUGAGGCGCGAAAGCGUGGGGAGCAAACAGGAUUAGAUACCCUGGUAGUCCACGCCGUAAACGAUGAGUGCUAAGUGUUAGGGGGUUUCCGCCCCCCUUAGUGCUGCAGCUAACGCAUUAAGCACUCCGCCUGGGAGUACGGCCGCAAGGCUG
rnacentral:rRNA from 1 species